GUGUGCGUAAUAGGAGGUCAACAUGACAUUAACCAAAGCAUCUGAUUUCCAGCAGUUCGUCUCAAUUUAACACAAUCAAUCGGGCCAAACCUUGUCAUGGAGAAAUAAUGGGCAAAUAGAUUACACAUGCAUUACUUUAACAACGGCGCUGUCUAGUCGCGGGCGGAGGACGGGGGUGCUCAACAAUGGAGCGUGCCAUCAUGACCUAGGAUGUGUGAGGGGAUGUACUGUAUAUGACCAAGUACAGUUAAUAUUGACGGUGGUGCGUGCUUUGUGGACCACAGAAAAAAGGUUGUAGAGGAAGUGGUGGAGGAGGAGGUGGUUCACGGGGAGAACAACUGGGGAGGAGGUGACUGAUGAGGAGCUCCAGGCAGCCACAGGCCCCAUCCCCAGCCUCCCGGAGGGCAUCACUGUGGUCUACACCAUCCCAGAGAAGGCCCACCCAUCCUCCCCAUGUCAUCGAUGGCCAUCCAGCGUACACAGUGAGACGCCUCCUGAGUGUUCGCCAUGGGGCAGGGAUUUCCAGUACCUGGUUGACUGGGAGGGUUAUGGCCCGGAUGAGAGGUGCUGUCUCCACCACCCUCCAGUUGUCGCUCAUCUUCCCCAUUGUCCCCUGUGUAUUUAUACCUGUGUUCUCUGUUUGUCUGUUGCUAGUUCAUCUUGCUUGUCAAGUCAACCAGCAUUUUUCUGUCUCAGUUCUUGCUUUUUCCAGUCUCCCUUUUUCUUGUCUUCCUGGUUUUGACCCUUGCCUGUCCUGACUCUGAGCCCACCUGCCUGACCACUCUGCCUGCCCCUGACUUUGAGCCUGCCUGCCAAUCUGUACCUUUGCCCCAUCUCUGGAUUAUUGACCUCUGCCUACCCUGAACCUGAGCCUGUCUGCUGUCCGGUACCAUUGCCCCACCUCUGCUUUACUGAACCCUGCCUGCCUUGACCGGUCUAUUGCCUGCCCCUGUUGGAUUAUUAAACCAUUGUUAAUUCGACGAU